CGGAUCGUAUUUUCAGUUCCACCCCGACCGAAACGGCCGCAGUGUCUGCCCGCCCGCCAAAUGCGCGAUUAUUACACGUCUGUCUGCGCUGCACGAUCAUAUCGUGAAAAUUAGUGACAAUGUAAUAUUGUGCAACGAUAUAAUAGUGACAAUGUAAUGAAAAAUUGCUAAAACACUGCGCGCCACAAUUGGAUAAUUGAAAGUUUUGAUAAAUCGUCGCGAGUUAACGAACGGCAAAAAGGAAAUAGGUAAAAAAGAACAAACGAAUGAAGAAAAUGAAAAAUAAAAUAACGCCCAACGUAUAUUAUAAUGACGCGUGAAUAGUGGGUGUGCGUUGUUUAGAAGAAGAAUAAGAAGGAGAAGAAAAAAAGAAGGAAGGAAGAAGAGUUAGAAAAAAAAAAAAAAAAAAAAAAUUAACAAUAAAGAUCCGCAUCGGUACUCACACAUACACAAGGGCACAAACGCGUAUAUAUGUACGAUAUGUGCGUGCUUACACGACGAUGAAACGGAAGACCGGAGGACAAUCGAUAGUGAAGGUGUAAAUAGUUGAGUGCGAAAAGUAGGAGGAGGGCAGUGACGGUGGUAGAAAGGCUACGCAUACACACACGAUUAUACGCACGCAUCUUGGCACAUGAAUAUCUAUACGUACGCGUGUGAUACGUAAAGGAGAAGGAGAAGAAGAAAAAACAAAAAUAAAGUAAAAAAAAAAAAAGAAAAAAGAAAAUAACUCCGGGAGACACACGCGGCGUUUGUGCGGUUUUAACUACUGCCGCGGCAGCCGCGCUUCUGACUUUUUUAUACACCUGACCGCGGUUCGGUAAGAAAAAAAAAAAUAAAACGUGGAAGAGAGGUAAAAACAAUAACGAGAAAUUCGGACGGAGUGUGGUUCGGAAGGGAAAAAAAUUAAAAAAAAAAAAAAAAUAAAAUAAAAACCAAAGUUAAAUUAAUUGAUUAGUACAUUUUUCACGCUUACGAAUAAAUAUCACCUGUCACCUAUAAUAUAUAUAUACAUAUAUAUGUAUAUAUGUAUGUAUAUAUGCGAAGGUGUAAUAUACGCAAACGCUUCGAUCGCUGUACCUAAUUUAUUGUAAUCAUAUACAUACAAUAUGUCACGUAUAAUAUACACGCAAAAAGUGCCUUGACGAGAUUGAAAAUUAAUGAAUAAAAAACAGAAGUAAACUGGCGAUGGUAAAUAUAUCGGACGAUAUUGGUAAAACCAAGUGUUGAGCAUAAGUGAUGUUUGGACAAAAUAUGUAUUGUAAUUUUUAGAGAACUGUUGUACAUGAAAAGUAUUUCUAAUUCUCCGAUCGUGUCUUCAUUUUAUCUACGUUUCGCGCUAGUUUUUCUUCUUUCUCUAAUUGUUCUGUGAAACCAACGCAUACACACAUAUAUACAUAUAUGUAUUAUAUGCGUAUGUGUGUGUACACAUAUUGUGCAUAUAAUAUGAAAUUUGUAGCAAACUUUGCGGCACGUAAACAACUUCCUCUCGAUCAAUAUAAAUGAUAGCAUAAAGAGAGAGAGAGAGAGAGAGAGAGAGAGACAGGAGGGGGGAGAAAAUAAAAAAAAAAGUGAGAAAAAUGUCGGUACGUAAUAAUAACGAACUUUGUGUAAAAUGGAACGAUGUUGGUAAAAAUGACGAUGGCAAAAAUAUUAAAAUAAUUGGACGAGGAAGAGAAUAAGUGAUGGAAAAAAGAAUUGCACUAUGCGUUACGUGUAUGUAGCGUACAAUUGUCAAAGUGAAGUUGAUAUUGUGAGUGAGGAAGGGAAUGGGAAAGAAACCGGAGUGAAAAACGUGAAUUUUAACGUAAUGAUAAUAACAACAACAAUCACGAUUAGGCGAAAAAUUUAACGACGACAAAACUAAAGCAAAUGUCACAGUACGCAAAGUUAUCGCGGCGUUGGAAAAGUGGGUGAUGUGGGGAAAAAGGUCGGACGCAAAAGCGAGCAGGGAAAAAAAUAACAAAUUUCUCGUACCGUGGAAAUGGUAUCAAUUAAAUGCUUAAUAAAGCGACGGGAACAUCGGGCAAUUGGUGUAAAAAAAUUCAUCGACGACGACUGUUAUAAUCCCAUAAGUAUUGAUAAAAAUAAUAACAACAACAAUGAAGAUAAUAAACGCGGUUGUGUAAAAUAUCCGCGUACAGAGCUGAGAUUGAUCGUUAAAAAAUCGUUGCUCCCGGGGCGAUCGAUAAUAACAAUAAUAAUAACAACAACAACAACAAUAAUAAUAAUAAUAACAAUAAUAAUAAUAGCAGUGAUAGUAAUACUGACAAAGCAAAUUGACGACGGUGAGAUUGCAGAAAAAUCAUCGUUAGCGGCGUGGUUUUUUUCACACAACGUAGCGAAAAAAUCUUGUCGUUACAUUAUUUUUGUCACGUUGCUAAAUCCGUACGGCGAACGGCAAACGCGGGAUUCUUGGCAAGGAGGAUCGGACGGAGGGGGAGGAGGAGGAGGAGGAGGAGGAGGAAGAGGAGGAGGAGGAGGAGGAGAAAAACCGAAGGGAAAAUCGGCGCCGAAGCCGGGGAUAAUAAGAAGCGAUUCCCCCCCCGGAAGUUAGGGGAAUGCCGGCCCAACGGAAGGAGGAAGAAGAAGAAGAAUCGUCUCGAAUGGUCAAAACUCGCCUGGUGCCGCGGUGAAAAGUGUCGGAUGAAAAAUAAGGAUAAAGUAAGAGAGAGAGAGAAAGAGAGAGAGAGAAAAAAAAAAACCACAACGCGUAUAAUUGAGUCACGCGUGAAUUUAAGUACUCGUAUAACGCGUUGCAAUUUUGCGAAUUAUGCAUCGGGUUGAAUAAUUUGUACGCGUUGUGCGGUACAAAGUUUCAAAGGGUCGACGUGGUUGCGUUGGUGGUGGUGGUGGUGGUGGUGGUGGUGGUUCGUUUUAAUUACAAUCGACUUUGUUAUACGUCAUCCCUACCGCGUAUACUACAUAACUAAGUUACUGUAUAAGUAAUGCGAACAACGGACUUGUACAAGCAACGCAAGCCGCGCUUAACGUUCAAUGCGAUAUUUAACCGUUCAAUUUUCCCAUUGAAAAGACCGAGGAGAACAAGUUUUAUAUCUCUUCUAAGCCGAGUGACGAGAUAGGAAGGAAAGUAAAAAAAAAAAAGAAAUUUUUAAAUAAAAUAAAAUAAAACUUUUAACCACUUAAUUGCACGCUCGAGGAUGAAACAGAGGCAAAGAGAGAAAAAAGGAUGUAGAAAUAAUGGAUGAAACGCAUGUUUUGCGAAAAUAAUUAUACGAAGCUGCCUUCUUAUUUUUUUUCAAUUUAUCUCUGCAGUUUUGACGUAUAAACGAUAACGUUGGUAAUGAUAAUAAUGAUAACAACGAUGUGUCGCUGUGUUAUUUUGAAACGUGCUGUGAAAAUUGAAGGGAAAUCUGCACAAGUGGUAUAAAAACAGUAAUAAAAAUAACAACAACAACAAAAAUAAUAAUAAACCAAACGAACGAAAAUUAAAAGGAAAACAAAAGAGACGCCGACAAAAACGAUUUUAAAAGCAACAAAAAAAAAAAAAAUAAUAACCAUAGAACGAUAAACAAAUGAGAAUAAUCGUACAUCGAUUCUUCAACGAAGGGAGAAAGAAAUACAUACAUUGAAACAAUUCGUGAUGUUGCGCGAUGUUUUGUAACGUAUACUUGUAAUACAUAACUUACGUGUACAUGAGAAUACGCUUGAAUUUAUAAUUUGUUCUUCGGGAAAUAAUCUAAUAUUAACAAAUACAGUAGGAAUUUAUUAAACGGGAUAUAUAAGCGUUGAUGAUUUGAAAGAGGAAAAAAAAAAACAAUAAAUUAAAAGACGAAGAAGAAGAAUAAGAAAAAUUUGAUGCAAUAGUAAUGAAAAUAAAUAU
rnacentral:lncRNA from 1 species